AUUGAACGCUGGCGGCAGGCCUAACACAUGCAAGUCGAGCGGCAGCGGGAAAGUAGCUUGCUACUUUUGCCGGCGAGCGGCGGACGGGUGAGUAAUGCCUGGGAAAUUGCCCAGUCGAGGGGAUAACAGUUGGAAACGACUGCUAAUACCGCAUACGCCCUACGGGGGAAAGCAGGGGACCUUCGGGCCUUGCGCGGUUGGAUACGCCCGGGUGUGAUUAGCUAGUUGGUGAGGUAAUGGCUCACCAAGGCGACGAUCCCUAGCUGGUCUGAGAGGAUGAUCAGCCACACUGGAACUGAGACACGGUCCAGACUCAUACGGGAGGCAGCAGUGGGGAAUAUUGCACAAUGGGGGAAACCCUGAUGCAGCCAUGCCGCGUGUGUGAAGAAGGCCUUCGGGUUGUAAAGCACUUUCAGCGAGGAGGAAAGGUCAGUAGCUAAUACCUGCUGACUGUGACGUUACUCGCAGAAGAAGCACCGGCUAACUCCGUGCCAGCCGCCGCAGUAAUAC
rnacentral:rRNA from 1 species